CUGUUUUCCAGAGUCAGUCAGGUGUGUCCAGCUGGCUUAGCACAAAAGGAGACUCAUUAAUACAACAUCGCAUCGUCAUCAGGGGAUGGAGACUCCGACAGAAGUGAAACUAAGCAGUCAUAGUGAGUGUUCCAUAGAUGCCAUGUGGAAAAGCAAGAUCAAUUAGGACUGAGCAUUCCUCAGCAUCUUACAGGAAGCUUUUCAUCCCAGAUGGCUAACUGAAUUUCCCAGUUUCCCACACUGAUCUCAAACAUGUGCUCCUCUUGCCUUAGCUCCUGAAUUCUGGUGCAGCAGAAAAGAAAAAGGACCAAGCACGGUUCUGGAGCAGACAGACUUGGAUUCAAAUCUCACCUCGAAUAGGGUGUCUACAUACAGCCUCUUGAGAAACACUAGUCUAAUGACUGGCACCCAAGAGGCAGAAGGCAGAUGUCCAUCUUCUUGAGGCGUGGUCCACAGUGUCUUAGCUGCAUUCAAAGCAAUUCAUAAGACCAGGCCAAUUUCAAAGAUAAAGGAAAUAUUUCAGUUCCUGGUGGGAAGAAUGUCAAGCUUGUACUUGGAAGACAGAAAAAGUACCUAACAAUCUGUGGCUGUAGCUGGAGACACUUGAAGAAGCUGAAUUCCCCUUUGGAGGGCACCGAUGAGGGAGUGAGGGAGAGCACUGCAGACUGGGCAUCAGGAGAUCUCCCAUCUGAAGGCAGCCGAGUGAGUCCAGCAGCUGACCUCACGUGACAUCAAGUCAUUCCCAAGAAAGGACCUCUCACUUUGGAAGGGAAAUUGGUUUUCCUCGGAUUCCUGAAUCAGGUAUGUGGUUUUCACUCACCUGGGCAAUGUCACCUGAAAUUCAAGGGCUGUGACUCCGAGAUGUGUUAUAUUCAAUAACAGUGAGAGGGUGAAGUAACAAAGUAUGCCUCGAUUUAUCUCAGGAUAGACACGUAGACUCAAAAAGUUCAAAUUUCCCCAAGGGAAAUUAUCUGUCCACUUUGGUUCCUUAACCAGAUUGCACAGAAGUCCAUGUACACCAUCAGACUUAAAAUGGAUUGGACUGAAAGAAUUAAUAGAGACUGGCAGCCAGAGACAAAUUACUUGUGUGCCAUUGGGCAAGGUAUAUGAUUGUAUAUCUUUGAGAUGUUGCUGAAACUCACAUAAGGCCUUGGAGAUACGUUGGAUUAAUUUUUAGAAGUGAUUUUUCAUUGUCUAAUUGACCUGUUGUGGAAAUACACCCUGUGCCAUUAGAAAGCUUGUAGGCUUUGGCUGUUCUGAGUAUCUGUUGGCCCUAGACCUUAAUCAAGCAUUUCCUGGAGAAGCUGAACUUACUAUCUCAGGGAAAUGGAUCUUUUUACCAGUUCUUCCUUCUUUCAGAGGCUGGAAGCUUCAUGCUCAGAGAAGGGAGUACAGUGGUUCCCUGUCAUCUGUGGGAGAAUGUUCCGUGGGACACUUGAAACACAGAUCCUACCUGUAUGAACGUACACUCUGUAUGCACACACAAAGUUAAUGCCAUUUCCAUUUUUAACUAAGCUCUUAUCACACACUGUCACUAUGACUUUUGCAGUUCAGGGUGUGACAGCAAACCUAGCAUAGACUUCUCUUCCUCUCUCACAAUUUCUCUGAUGGAAGAUUUGUUCUUGUCAUAAUGUCAGCAUUUGAUUUUUCCCCCUUUUUCUUAUUAAAUUGAGAACUUCUACACCUGCCCCUUAGGGAAGCACUCUGUGGUUUCUCUUGGCACACCCCGCUGUCCGUGUCACUCCCCUUGCACUUUGGGGCCAGGAUGAAGUAAAGUAAGGAUGACUCGAACACUAGCGCUGUGACACCUGAGCGGAGCACCGUGAGUACCCUGAGGUGACUGAAGGGCAGGUGGCUUGUCCAGCCUGGGUGUGCUCGACAAAUGGACGGCUCACACCUCUCCUGGGACUUGGUGGGACAGAGUACGAUUUCACCCUGCUGCUGUGGACAGAGUGAAGUUUAAAGUGUAUGCCUUGCUUAUUCCUGGAAUUUUCCAUUCAAUUCUCAUUUUUAGAUCAUGAAUGACCACAUUGGAAGCUACAGAAAGUGAAACCACGGCUAAGGGGGGCUGUUCUAUAUCUUUCCCCCAAAGAAUUUGGUAUCUGUAGACUUAAAUCUUAAGCAAAAUUAUUAGUACAUGUUUGCAGUGUAUAAUGAUUAUUCACAUUCUUCGUGGAGAGUUAAUACAUGUCCAGAACACAUCUCAAUGCGUUUUACAUACACUUCCACUUUGUCCUUUCCCUCCUCCCUCCAUUUCUUGUUCACCUUCCUGUUUGCAAAGAUUUAUCUCCCUGUUU